rnacentral:rRNA from 1 species
CAGGCCUAACACAUGCAAGUCGAACGGUAACAGGGAGCUUGCUCCGCUGACGAGUGGCGAACGGGUGAGUAAUGUAUCGGAACGUACCAUUCAGUGGGGGAUAACGUAGCGAAAGUUACGCUAAUACCGCAUAUUCUGUGCGCAGGAAAGCAGGGGAUCGCAAGACCUUGCGCUGAUUGAGCGGCCGAUAUCAGAUUAGCUAGUUGGUGAGGUAAAAGCUCACCAAGGCGACGAUCUGUAGCGGGUCUGAGAGGAUGAUCCGCCACACUGGAACUGAGACACGGUCCAGACUCCUACGGGAGGCAGCAGUGGGGAAUUUUGGACAAUGGGGGCAACCCUGAUCCAGCCAUGCCGCGUGAGUGAAGAAGGCCUUCGGGUUGUAAAGCUCUUUCAGCCGGGAAGAAAAUGCAUGGGUUAAUACCCUGUGCAGAUGACGGUACCGGAAUAAGAAGCACCGGCUAACUACGUGCCAGCAGCCGCGGUAAUACGUAGGGUGCGAGCGUUAAUCGGAAUUACUGGGCGUAAAGCGUGCGCAGGCGGUUCUGUAAGACAGGCGUGAAAUCCCCGGGCUUAACCUGGGAACUGCGUUUGUGACUGCAAGGCUAGAGUACGGCAGAGGGGGGUGGAAUUCCACGUGUAGCAGUGAAAUGCGUAGAGAUGUGGAGGAACACCAAUGGCGAAGGCAGCCCCCUGGGUCGAUACUGACGCUCAUGCACGAAAGCGUGGGUAGCAAACAGGAUUAGAUACCCUGGUAGUCCACGCCCUAAACGAUGUCAACUAGGUGUUGGGAGGGUAAAACCUUUUAGUACCGUAGUAACGCGAGAAGUUGACCGCCUGGGGAGUACGGCCGCAAGGUUAAAACUCAAAGGAAUUGACGGGGACCCGCACAAGCGGUGGAUGAUGUGGAUUAAUUCGAUGCAACGCGAAAAACCUUACCUACCCAUGACAUGUCAGGAACUUUCCAGAGAUGGAUUGGUGCCCGAAAGGGAGCCUGAACACAGGUGCUGCAUGGCUGUCGUCAGCUCGUGUCGUGAGAUGUUGGGUUAAGUCCCGCAACGAGCGCAACCCUUGUCGUUAAUUGCCAUCAUUUAGUUGGGCACUUUAACGAGACUGCCGGUGACAAACCGGAGGAAGGUGGGGAUGACGUCAAGUCCUCAUGGCCCUUAUGGGUAGGGCUUCACACGUCAUACAAUGGUCGGUACAAAGGGUCGCCAACCCGCGAGGGGGAGCCAAUCCCAUAAAGCCGAUCGUAGUCCGGAUUGUAGGCUGCAACUCGCCUGCAUGAAGUCGGAAUCGCUAGUAAUCGUGGAUCAGCAUGUCACGGUGAAUACGUUCCCCGGGUCUUGUACACACCGCCCGUC